rnacentral:rRNA from 1 species
UAAAGUGGCGCGACGGGUGGAGUAACACGUGGAUCAUCUACCUCUUAGUGGGGAAUAACCCUGGGAAACCGGGGCUAAUACCGCAUAAGCCUGGAAAGGGAAAGCAGCAAUGCGCUGAGAGAGGAGUCCGCGGCCGAUUAGCUAGUUGGUAGGGUAAUGGCCUACCAAGGCGAUGAUCGGUAGCCGGCCUGAGAGGGCACACGGCCACACUGGCACUGAAACACGGUCCAG